CCUACGGGCGGCAGCAGUGAGGAAUAUUGGUCAAUGGUCGUAAGCCUGAACCAGCCAAGUAGCGUGCAGGAUGACAGCCCUAUGGGUUUUAAACUGCUUUUAUGCGGGGAUAAAGUGCCCCACGUGUGAGGUUUUGUAUGUACCGUAUGAAUAAGGAUCGGCUAAUUCCGUGCCAGCAGCCGCGGUAAUACGGAAGGUCCGGGCGUUAUCCGGAUUUAUUGGGUUUAAAGGGAGCGUAGGCGGUUCGUUAAGUCUGCGGUAAAAUCGUGGGGCUCAACCUGGCCGUGCCGCGGAAACUGUGGGACUUGAGUAAGCGCAGGGUAAACGGAAUUCGUGGUGUAGCGGUGAAAUGCUUAGAUAUCACGAAGAACUCCGAUUGCGAAGGCAGCGUACGGGAGCAAGACUGACGCUGAGGCUCGAAAGCGCGGGUAUCAAACAGGAUUAGAUACCCGGGUAGUC
rnacentral:rRNA from 1 species